AAUUUGCCAGAUCAGAUUGUAUAAUUAUCUUUUACAGGCCUGGGUGUGAUGUGUGUUCUGUGUUUAUGCUGCAGGGGGCUGAGUGUGUGUGUUUGGCCUUCAGAGGUCUGCUCUGCCCAGUCUGACAGGGAGCCUCCCACACAUGCGGGGGUGGUAGCUGCUGGACCGGCUGCCUAUUCAGAAUCGGGCCCAGCACACCUGGACAGAACAGAGACGCUUUUCACAGAGCUGGGGUGAAAGGGUGAACCCAUGGGAGGCAUUUGGUGGUGGCGGGGAGGUCUUUGGGCUGGGGUGGGGAUCUUUGAGAAAGAGCGUCUGUGGGGGCUGGGGGUCUGCGGGGGCUUUCAACAAAGGGUCUGAAUAAAGGCUGGCAAGUUCGGAGAUUGGAAGGAAGCAGGCACGUUCAGGGACGAAUUAUCGGGCUCGUGAUCUUAGGCACAUCGGUCUUCGUGAGCCCCUUCCUCCAUAAAAAGGAAAACAGACUAAAAAUCGUAUCUUCUGACUACAGUGGUGUACGGGUGAAUAUAACCCUGGCGCGGUGCAUGGUCACAUAGGCGCGUAUAUGGUCAUUUUAUUCCUUCCGAUUAGAAAAGAAAUUAGAAUAUUCUCGUAGGCCCUUAAAAGUAUGGUGGGUUCUGGGCACUGCCUCCUGUGCUCAUCAGGUGUGUCGGCCUUCGGUAGGUUCCCGGAAGUGAGAUCCAGGAGUUUGGCAGCCUGACCGCUACUCGGCCUGUUCUGUAGAAGUCUCUCCCCUCUGAUCGUGGGGGACUCUUGCCUUGUAAGUCUCGAAAUCCCCUAUCGUACCCCACUUUUCCUUGGUCUCCUCCUGCGGCGUGUGGCCUGGUGUUGUCAGUGUGGCUCACAGCGUGGCUGGCGCACUUUUCGGGGAAGGCAGCAGGUUGACGUGGGGCGUGUUCCAGGUUAGUGUCUGCCGGUGGCCUCACCUUCCGGGCAUUUUGCUCCUCAGUCAGAAGUCUCCAAGAAGAGCAGACUCUUCCAUCUUGGUUGGAGGUGGUUGGGCCGAGAACCACUAGGUGGUGUUUGGCUCAAGGCAUCCCCGGAGAUGUCUGGAAGGACUGGUGGGAGGAAGGGAGGGACCUUUGGGGACAGGCUGUGGGCAGCCAGUUGCAGUGUCUGGCUUCCCUCAGAGGUUUGGUGACAGGCGUGGCGUGCUGCUGCUGGCCUCCUUCUGCGGGAGUGCCGUCCGCUCCCUGUCCCACCACUGUCCACACUGAGGACGGGAACGGCAGGCAGCGAGUGGGAGCUGGGUGUCUAGCCACGACAGCAGGACGUGUGGGUGCAGCCACGACAUGGCUCCACGUGGCGGAUGGCGAAGCCAGAGGGCCGCAGCAGAGCGGGGCAGGACCCAGGGUCCACCCAGGCACCCGGGGGGCCCAGCGUCUUCCACCUGCCCUCGCCGGCCAUGCCAGCACGAGAAGCAAAGGGACAGAGAGCCCUGCUUGUUUUCAGGAACAGAGUGGACACUGACCGCUCUGUUUAGCACAGUGGUUCUAGGGAUUGGAUUGCCUGGAACUGGGUCGGAGGAGAGGGGGGAGGGGCAGCUGUCUCCUGGGAUGCGAGGAAUGUGUCUCUCACCCAUCUGACAUUCCCAAGUCGUGUCUCUCACCCAUCUGACAUUCCCAAGUCGGCUGGGCGGGUCGCCUGGGUCUUCUGGAGGAAGGUGGUUUCUGCCCCAGGGGGAGAAAGCCUUGGGACAGUGUGUGUGGGGGGGUGGGGGGGAGUCAAUUAGCCUGAGGUUUCUGGGGAGGGGGCAUAAGGAGGGUGUUUGUGGGGAUCCCUUCUAAGGCCUUGCUACUCAGAGUGGCUCUAUGGGCCACCGGCGUUGGGUCCUCCCAGGAGGCUGUCAGGAAAGCAGAACCUCAGGCUGCCACCUCAGACCGCUGAACUGGAAUGUGAAAUCAGAAGUUUGUGGCCAACCUGGGUGUAAGUGCUUCGAACCAAGAAAGGACAAAAAAGAAGGCCGGUGACCUUGACUGCUCCAGACUUAGGUGUCUGUAUCUGUAAAAUGGGGAUAAUGAAGCUAACCGCUGCCGCGUCGUGACUCAGAGGGAGAGAACUCACAGGGCUCCGUGCCCAGCACCGCGCCUGGGGCCCGCUCAGCACACGAUCGAUGUCAUGUGUUUUGUUUUUGUUUUUUCCUUCUUGGGCUGGAUGUGACGUGGGGUACGUCACUGAGCCUUACCUUCCUCUUCUGGAAGAUGGCCUAGAGAGGAGAACGUAGCAAAGUUCCCUUUCUCACUCACACCCUCCACCAGGACACUUUGGGGAGCCAAUAUAUUCCCCCAGGGCCCCCACCUGAAGCACCUGGCUAAGACGGGACCAUCUCUUAAGAGGCAAAAGCUCUGGAUUUGAUCAAGAACUCUUAUUUGGAGAAUAAAGAAGGUUCUGGAUUUGAGAAGACGUUUAGAAAGCAAAGGCCUUCGCACCGAGGGAUGGUCUACGUCUCAACCUGCGUGGGCUGGGAGAUGCAUCACUGGAGUGACCUGCAGUCGGAGAAGACGUCUGUACCUCAGUCCUUGUUUUCCCUUGUGGUGGAAAAUGUUUCCUCUGAGGCUGCCCGCUCUGAAGACUCCCCUCUCCCCCCAAGCCCCGGAAGCCAGGGGCUUUCUCCCACACCCUUUCCGCGUCCCCCACCUCCACGUCCGCUCCGCCUUUGGACCCAGCAGCCCUUGUUUGCUCCAUUAUCUUCCGGCCGGAUACAGAGUGAAUAGUUAACUACACUUAGGCCAAAUGGGCUCUUGAUUUCUAUUCCUGCUCCUUCUAAAGAAGUGUGUGUGUGUGUGUGUGUGUGUGUGUGUGUGUGUGUGUGUGUGUGUGUUGCUAUGCAAGCGGCUUGGGAGGAGCAGUCCUUCUCAUUUACGUGGGGUCUGGCCACACAGGUUCCAGGUUCCAGAUCGAUGCACAUCGGUGCAGAAGUUCUUCAGGCCAUCAGAGACAUUGGCGGGACUUCAGCAGGGGAGCUGGAUCGUGAAGGCUGGUGUCCUCACGCCCCACCGUCUCAUUUGGGAUCACACACGGGUGUACGUCUGGAGGGGCAGAAGACGAACACCGUUUGUCAUUCCAGCUGUCCGCUGCUGACACAGAUGCAUGGUCAGCCGUGGAGACCGGCUCCUCUCAGGAGGACUUGGGGUCCACCCCAGAACUCGGGGCUUCCUUGUCAACUCUCCAACUACCAGAGUUGGCGGCCUUUAUUGAGGACCCCCAUCCUCCAGUGUGUGCUGAUCACUCACACACACCCCUGACAACAGAUCGGGCCCCUCGAGACACAAGUCCUGUUUGUUUCAUUCACCCUGUAGCUGCCACACACCUGGCUGGAAACCUGUCCCAGAUAAUGAUCACGAUCCAGCCCAAAGGCGGAGCCAAAAAAUGUUUGUGUUUUCAAUUUCCAGAGCGAAUGGAUGACUUGCCUUUGUAAAAAGAAUUAAAUUUCUAUAUAUAUAUAUAUAUA